rnacentral:rRNA from 2 species
UCAGGACGAACGCUGGCGGCGUGCCUAAUACAUGCAAGUCGAGCGGAUCGAUGGGAGCUUGCUCCCUGAGAUCAGCGGCGGACGGGUGAGUAACACGUGGGUAACCUGCCUGUAAGACUGGGAUAACUCCGGGAAACCGGGGCUAAUACCGGAUAACUCAGUUCCUCGCAUGAGGAACUGUUGAAAGGUGGCUUUUCGCUACCACUUACAGAUGGACCCGCGGCGCAUUAGCUAGUUGGUGAGGUAACGGCUCACCAAGGCAACGAUGCGUAGCCGACCUGAGAGGGUGAUCGGCCACACUGGGACUGAGACACGGCCCAGACUCCUACGGGAGGCAGCAGUAGGGAAUCUUCCGCAAUGGACGAAAGUCUGACGGAGCAACGCCGCGUGAGUGAAGAAGGUUUUCGGAUCGUAAAACUCAUGUUGUUAGGGAAGAACAAGUGCCGUUCGAAUAGGGCGGCACCUUGACGGUACCUAACCAGAAAGCCACGGCUAACUACGUGCCAGCAGCCGCGGUAAUACGUAGGUGGCAAGCGUUGUCCGAAUUAUUGGGCGUAAGCGCGCGCA